UACGUAGGGAGCAAGCGUUAUCCGGAUUUACUGGGUGUAAAGGGCGUGUAGGCGGGCCUGUAAGUUGGGAGUGAAAUCCGGGGGCUUAACCCCCGAACUGCUUUCAAAACUGCGGGUCUUGAGUGAUGGAGAGGCAGGCGGAAUUCCCAGUGUAGCGGUGAAAUGCGUAGAUAUUGGGAGGAACACCAGUGGCGAAGGCGGCCUGCUGGACAUUAACUGACGCUGAGGCGCGAAAGCGUGGGGAGCAAACAGG
rnacentral:rRNA from 1 species